rnacentral:rRNA from 1 species
AUUGAACGCUGUCGGCAGGCCUAACACAUGCAAGUCGAACGAGUAGCGGACGGGUGAGUAAUGUCUGAGAAACUGCCUGAUGAAGGGGGAUAACUACUGGAAACGGUAGCUAAUAAGGUAUACCCUCCAAUGGGCCCAGAUGGGAUUAGCUUGUUGGUGGGGUAACGGCGAAUCAAGGAGACCAUCCCUAGCUGGUCUGAGAGGUUGACCAGCCACGCUGGACCUGAGACACGGUCCAGACGCCUACGGGAGGCAGCAGUGGGGAAUAUUGCACAAUGGGCGCAAGCCUGAUGCAGCCAUGCCGCGUGUAUGAAGAAGGCCUUCGGGUUGUAAAGUACGUUCAGCGGUGAGGCGUUACCCGCAGAAGAAGCACCGGCUAACUCCGUGCCAGCAGCCGCGGUAAUAC